CAGAAGAAGCCAGGAUGAUGUGAUAAGGGCUUGCUGCUGGAAGGAGCGCUGAGUGCCCUCUAUUCCAGUUGAUAUAAGUGGGAGGGAAGUGUUCUCAGCACGGUGCAGGAACAAGCCCUGUGGAACUGGUAGAUAGUAAGAGAGGCAGAGUUGAGAAGUGCCUUGGAGGUGAGGACAAAAACGUGCUGAAACAAGGCAAGCCAACAGAGGGAAUCAAAGGGGGAGCAGGAGUUAUGAGUAAGAAAAAUGGUUUUAGCAGUUGAAUUUUGAAUAGACUGGAUGGGAGUGAUGAGAAACAGAAAUUACUGAAGACUUGUCUAGAUGAAUAUUUUUAAUGGGCCUGGUUAAUGUGAUUUCUCAUUUCAGUGCAGAAACCAUUUAAAGCUAUUGAAAAUAAAAAUAACCCUGUUUUUCCAAUUGGCAGAACACUGUGAACACACAGGGCCGAUUCUCAUUUACAGCACUUUACACCACUCUAACAAUGUUGACCCCAAUUGUAAGACCUCUUUAUGUAGCCAGAGUGGUGUAAAAGGGCUUAAAUGAGAAUCUGGCCUAUGGAAUUUACAGUACUUUGAGCCUUAAUAUUGCCUCUCCUUUCUAAUUUGUAUCAGAAUGGGAGUGAAGAAAAAAAUUCCCAAAGAUAAACUUUCUGAUAGCUUUAUAAACAUUUGUUCAUAUAAAUGAUGUCUCUCCAAAGCUAAGAAGUAUAAUAAUCUUCAGCAAGCAUACCCUCAUAAAGGUAUGAUUGGAACUGGCAGUGAAAUGUUGUGACAAAAAUUGUACACCUGUAGGGCUUUAUGAGGAAUCUUCCAGUGUAUAUGCUGUGACAGUCUAUACUAUUAUGUUCACCACUUUUACAAGACUAUGAUAAAUUUUGUACAAAGUAUGCCUUGGAAAAGUCAUAAUCUGCUGAAUAUUAUUGUCCUGGUAAAAUGUGUGACAACAUUCUAUGUAAUGUUACAAGAUUCUACUGUAUAACAUUGUUAUAACAUGCUCUGAGGUUAAGAAAAGCAGCUCCAAACCAGUUCCUCAGAGACAAAGGCACACUAGCAUCCCCAGAUAGGUACCAACAAAGUCAUGUGGGCCUUGACUUAGUUAAGUGACCAUUCUCCAGCAGAGGGAAGAUGUGAACCAUCCCAUGGAUGCUUCAGACCUCAGAUCCCACAAGAGACACAAGAGACUAUUUGUCACCUGCACCACAGCGGGGGGUAAUCCUCAAAGAGGGGAGAGUAGAGUGGUAUAAGAAUGAGAAACUGUGGCCUCCAAAUUACCACUGUCUCUCCCCAUUUCUAUUCAUGGCACCUACCACGCUUGAAAGACAAAGAAAGCAUCAUUGAACUGAGGGAAGAGUCGUCUUGACUGGAAGGCUUUUCAACCAGUACAGACUACUGUAAGAUUAUGAAGCCUAUGAUCAGAAAAGGAAAUCCAGACAGCACAACAGGUGUGCUUUUGCAAGCCUGGUGAAAUCUGCAAAUGAACUGAGAUCCAGACUAACACGGCUACCCCUCUCAUACUUGACACCAUGCAAGGCACUGCAUUAGCCAUAUGGAGUGGAAAUCCAUCAACCUCAUGAAGAAGCUUUCACAAAUACAGACUUUGCAUCCGACGAUGUGGGUAUUCACCCACGAAAGCUCAUGCUCCAAAACGUCUGUUAGUCUAUAAGGUGCCACAGGACUCUUUGCUGCUUUUACAGAUCUAGACUAACACGGCUACCCCUCUCAUACUUGACACCAUGCAAGGCACUGCAUUUAGCUGUAUGGAGUGGAAAUCCAUCAACCUCAUGAAGAAGCUUUCACAAAUACAGACUUUGCAUCUGACGAAGUGGGUAUUCACCCACGAAAGCUCAUGCUUCAAAAUGUCUGUUAGUCUAUAAGGUGCCACUGGACUCUUUGCUGCUUUUACAGAUGCAGACUAACACGGCUACCCAUCUGAUACUCAGUAGAGCUGAGUUCUAUUUCUGGUUCUACCAGUGACUUCAGACACAUCACUGGAUGACUAAGAACUGCCACUGUGUUGUGGCUGUGGAAAAAGGCUACUACAGUCCUAGGAUGCAUCAGGUGAGGUAUUUCCAGUAGAGCUAGAGAAGUGUUGCUAGCAUUAUACAAGGCAGUGGUGAGACCUCAUCUGGAAUACUCUAUGCUGUUCUGGUCUUCUGUGUUUAAGAAAGUUGAAUCCAA